GAAAUGCGAUAAUUAAUGUGAAUUGCAGAAUUCAGUGAAUCAUCGAGUCUUUGAACGCACAUUGCGCCCCCUGGUAUUCCGGGGGGCAUGCCUGUCCGAGCGUCAUUGCUGCCCUCAAGCACGGCUUGUGUGUUGGGCUUCCGUCCCUGGCAACGGGGACGGGCCCAAAAGGCAGUGGCGGCACCAUGUCUGGUCCUCGAGCGUAUGGGGCUUUGUCACCCGCUCCCGUGGGUCCAGCUGGCAGCUAGCCUCGCAACCAAUCUUUUUAACCAGGUUGACCUCGGAUCAGGUAGGGAUACCCGCUGAACUUAAGC
rnacentral:misc_RNA from 1 species